UUAGAGAGAAAAAGUGUUGUUAUUUAACGGCUAGAAAGUAACCACUCACUUCCCAAGAUUACAGGGCUACAUUUUCUCAGAGAUUUUAGGAGGAAACCGAAAGUUGGAGAACGACCUCCUCUAUCCCUCUUUAAGAAGGUUUCAUGGCCAUGGAGAGGUGCACAUAAAUUUACAGAGUUCUCACAGUUCUGGUAAAAGCUUGAUAUUUGCGAUCGAUAGUCUCACAACACUGCUCCUAAUCCUAGGAGUGGGUCCAUCACUUCGCUCAAGUUUUUCAACAUUGGUAUCAGAGCGGGUUGUGGAACCGUGGUGGGCUCGUAACUUACGGUUCCCAGGUUCCAUUAUUUAUUUUUUUAUUUUUUAUUUAAUUCUUGCUCAUAGCCCACAGGUCCCAGGAUCGAAAUCGAUUAUUUGGUUUCCUGUGAGUUUGUAUUUUGUUGAACAAUAUCUCUCUUAACUUUUUUUUAUUAUCAAUUUUCUAUUUACUCUGUGGAAAUUUGUC
rnacentral:lncRNA from 1 species